rnacentral:lncRNA from 1 species
CUCAUUGUCAGUCCCGGGAGUCGGAGGAGCCGCCGGCCGCUGGGACCUGGGCGCCCAAGCACUAGGCUGGCGGGAGCGCGGGUCGGAGCCUCUGAGGCUAGCCUUGAACUCACUGUGGAGCCCAGGCUGGCCUUGAACAUGGCAGUCCUCCUGUCUCUGCAUCCUGACUGCUGGGAUUACAGUCUUGGAGACAAUACCAGAAGAGGGGCCCAAUUCCAAGUACAGCUCCUAAGAGGACUCCUACAACUCUGCAGUCAGGGUAUCAGCCAGCACUGUAGUCAUCUGAAAAUAUAACUAGAGAAGGACAGGACCUGCUUCCAAAUUUAUUCAGUCAAGGGGCAACUGGCAUUGAGAGAGAGUGACUGUUCCCAAGACAGCAAACAUUGGAGGAACAGCCAGAAGUAUUGACAGAAAGCUUAAAUUACCUAAAUGGUAAGUAUGUUGUACAGUGAAGUCUGGGCAUACUAAUAGCAUUGGAUGGGUUUUGAAGCUUCUACAAAUUUCCAGCACCGCAAAGGAAGGGAGGAGAAUCAGUGUUUGUUGAUGGCCUGUUGUGAACUGAACAUAGGGUAAGUAUCCUUUUUCUCUUUAACUUUUUUCUCCCUUAAGCUCCUGACUUGAUGAAGGUAAAAAUCCUUGCAUGGAUUCAAUGACCUUAAGAAGCAGGCCCAAACUACCAU